GGUAUGACGAUGAGGAAGCCUCCCGUCGGGGCAUAGGAAGGGGAGAUGAGGCAUUCAUCCAGGAGAUCCUCCCGGAGAAGGUGCUCCGAGCCGCCACCCCCGCGAGAGGACACCCCGGCUGGGACGCAGCCACAGUCGCCGGCGACCUGGGAGGAGAAGCCAAGUGUUCCCGAUGGAGCGGACGCCUCAGAUAUCACCCGGAGCCCGGGUUCUUCCCCAAAAUGGGGCCUGCGACGCCAACCCAUCGUACCCGUGGGGGGUGACGAUACGCGUGACGAUUCGAAGAGUUUCCAAAAAGGACCCCCAAGGACCCUCCGUGGACGAGUGUCAGUGGCCGCCCGCCUCCUCCCAAGCCCACCCUUGUCGGGAGGAAUCAAAGCCAGAACAGAUGUCCUCUCCCCCGCCGUUCGGAGCAGGAAAUGA
rnacentral:lncRNA from 1 species